GGAGCUCCCCACAGAGAGGCUCUGGUCUUCUCUGUCCCAGGCAUGACAGCUAAUACUCUUCCUUUUCCUGCCCUGUCAUUUCCCUCCUCCUCAAACACAGAUUUUCUUUCCUUAGACACGAUUUCUUCCGCUGUGUUAGUCAGAGCCUUGUGGUGUUUGUUUAAAUAAACAAAUCCGUCAUGAAUACGAUAUGAAAGAAGAUUGGACCUUCAGGCUGACUAAUGACGAACAUGAUGAGUUUCUUAAGGCAAAUCAGUCUUUUCCUCUUCAAAGGAGUCAGUUUUACUGGAAGUACUACAUAUAAUUAAUUACAUAGGCAUUAAUAUCAUGCUGACAGAAAAACAAAAAAGGAAUGUGUUGCCACACAGAAGAUGCAGAACCACUUUUAUGGCCGAAGUGGAACCAUGGUGUGAUACAGCUUCAAGUGAUCUUAAAGAUCAUCUGGCUCUUGAGCAUCCAGUGAAAAGUGGCUUCCUUGGUCUGAAGGUUUGGCCUGUCUAAGACAUUUAGUUAAAAUCAGUGUUUUGCAUCUUUGAUCAGAACAUGUGAACAAAUAGGACAAUUUGGCUUUCUCACAUAGCCACCACCAGCUUCCUUAAAUGACUGUUGCCAGGUGUCACCCUAGCAGGACUGAGCCAUUAAUCAUGGCAAAUGAAGCCGCAGGCAUCAGUUGUCCGUCUUGAAGAGAAGAGAUAGAACCUUGGAGUCUCGUUUUCCUGCUGUUCCGCACAGGCAUGGCAAUUGAGAACCUCAGGGUUGUUCUGAGCCAGCUCGUGGCCAGGGGCCGGCAACCUUGCUUCCCUCUCCUUUCCCCAACAGAAGCUGAGCGGCCCCUGGCCAUAUCUGCCCCAAAGCAAAGAGAAGCAGCCUGUUUCCCCGUGGUCCAGGCCAGGAAGGGAGCAGAAGGGACUGCAAAGCGUGGACUUCUGAGAGGGGUGAUUCAGGCGGCAGCAGCACCAUCAUGUGUCCUGGGCAUGCCACCAUUAGUCAACGUCAAACGAGUGCGAGGGCCCUGGAAAUACCUGCAG
rnacentral:lncRNA from 1 species